AUGGCAUUGUUCUGCGUCACGCCCUGGUUGAUAUGUAAAUGUUUUGUAUCUAUACGAAGAAAACAACGGUGGCGCAGGGAGAUGGCUGAGGAAGAGCUCGGGGAGCUACAAGGAACACCAAUGAGGUUCACAUUUCAACAAUUAAAUGUAGCAACUGAGCAAUUCAGACACAAGCUUGGGGAAGGAGGAUUUGGGCCUGUUUUCAAGGGACAAUUUGGUGAGGAGAUAAUUGCAGUUAAGUGUCUGGAUCAAACUGGUCAGGGAAAUACAGAUUUUCUGGCAGAAAUUCAAACAAUUGGUACCAUCCAUCAUAUCAAUCUUGUGAGACCGAUUGGUUUCUGUGCAGAGAAAUCAUACAAACUCUUGGUGUAUGAAUAUAUGCCAAAAGGAUCCUUGGACAGGUGGAUUUAUUCUCGAGGCGACAAUAGUGCUCCUCGACUAGAUUGGACGAUGCGACACAAAGUCAUCAUUCACGUAGCUAAGGCCCUCUCUUAUCUCCAUGAGGAGUGCAUGGACAUAAUUGCUCAUUUGGAUGCCAAACCACAAAAUAUCCUAUUAGAUGACGAUUUCAAUGCUAAACUUUCUGAUUUUGGACUGUGCAAGCUUAUAAAUAGGGAUAAGAGCCAAGUGAUUACUAGAAUGAGAGGCACACAAAGAUAUUUGGCUCAGAAAAGGCUGACGUAUACGACUUUGGCAUUGUGA
rnacentral:rRNA from 1 species